GGGCCGGGACCCCCCCGGGCGGGGAGAUAAGGAGGUUAGAGAAGGGGGGGAGGUGAAAGGAAGGGGGACACAGCCGGGAAGGUGAGAGACAGCGAUGCUCUCUCCUCUGGCCCGGAGCAAAAACCUUUGUCCCGCAGGAUUCCAUGAAAACCACCUCACACCGGGAGAAGAGCCGGAUGGGGCACGGGGGGGGAGAAUUAUGGCCGGAGAGUUUUGCUCUUGGGACUGCUUUAGGUUGAACCAACAGAUUCCCCCCGGCUGAACCCCUCCGCUGGGCUGAAUUUAGCAGCAGAAGAGAUAACCAGCAGAUAAGGACUGAUACCCUGGGAGGACAGCGGGAGACUGGGAGGCGGCCGAGGAAAGGGAGAGAAGCCGGAGGCAGCGCUGGGAAGGGGAAAAAAGGUGCAAAAGCAAUUCCCGUGGAUUGUUUCGCGUGCGUGUGGCCGGAUCCAGCCUCUUUCCUUUUUUCGAGGAAUUCUCGGUCGGCGGAGCCGGGAAUGGCGGGGACGCACAUCCCGAAAUUCGGAGAGGUGAGGAACGGCACCGAGCCCAGCCCGGCGUGACCCAGCAGCCGGCAGGGAGAGGAUGGAUUUAGGACACAAUUUCUCCUGGAAAAAGCAGAUGGGACACAGCAAAGCGCAGCGACAAAAAAAAAGCCCCAAACCAACCCCAAAACUCUGUUCUGAGCGCGAUGGAGCUUUUUUUUUUCCUUGCGAUUAACGAAAUCUGUGUGAAAAUAACCCAGGGGAGCAAAUUUUGGCCUUGCCUCUCUCCUUUCCAGCCUCCACUUCUGCCCCAGGCAGGAAAAACUAUCGAGACGAUGCCUAUUUUUUAGGGUUUUUUUGUUUUGCUUUUCUUAUUUCCCCGUACCGAACUUAGUUCCGCGGUGGUUUUAGAGUUAAAGCUCCGGGUGUUGCUGCAUGGGGGAAAAAAACAAACUUCCCCUCAAAAAAAAUAAAAAAACCAAAAAAAUCACUCAAAAACACUUUAGGAACUGGAGUGGGGCGGGGGGCGGAGGGGAAGAGAGGAGAAAGUAAAUUUAAAUUUUUAUUUGUGCCAAAAAUUGAAUUUUUAAAACAAUAAUGAAGAAAAGUGGUUAAAAAUAGGGGAAAAAAACAGCGGGGGAAAUGUGGUUUUAGCCGAGCAAAAGGGAUAAAUGCGGCCGGCGGCUUCUGCCUAUUGGGCAUUUGGGAUUAUUUGGAGUUUUUAUUAGCAUUACGUUAAUUCUUUUA